rnacentral:rRNA from 1 species
AGUGAACGCUGGCGGUAGGCCUAACACAUGCAAGUCGAACGGCAGCACAGGAGAGCUUGCUCUCUGGGUGGCGAGUGGCGGACGGGUGAGGAAUACAUCGGAAUCUACUCUGUCGGGGGGGAAAACGUAGGGAAACGUACGCUAAUACCGCAUACGACCUACGGGUGAAAGCAGGGGACCUGCGGGCCUUGCGAGAGGGAAGGAGCGGAUGUCGGAUUAGCAAGUGGGCGGGGUAAAGGCCCACCAAGGCGACGAUCCGCAGCUGGUCUGAGAGGAUGAUCAGCCACACUGGAACUGAGACACGGUCCAGACUCCUACGGGAGGCAGCAGUGGGGAAUAUUGGACAAUGGGCGCAAGCCUGAUCCAGCCAUACCGCGUGGGUGAAGAAGGCCUUCGGGUUGUAAAGCCCUUUUGUUGGGAAAGAAAUCCAGCUGGCUAAUACCCGGUUGGGAUGACGGUACCCAAAGAAUAAGCACCGGCUAACUUCGUGCCAGCAGCCGCCGUAA